AGCGUCAUAGCUCAGUGGCAGAGCAUCCGCUUUGCAUGCAGAAGGUCCCGGGUUCAGUCCCCAAGGGCACUU